AGAGUUUGAUCCUGGCUCAGGACGAACGCUGGCGGCGGGCUUAACACAUGCAAGUCGAACGAAGCCUUCGGGCUUAGUGGCGCACGGGUGCGUAACGCGUAGGCAACCUACCUUCAGGCGGGGAAUAACUACCGGAAACGGUAGCUAAUACCGCAUAUUGUCAGAGAGACUCAUGUCUUUCUGAUGAAAGGCUUCGGCCACCUGAGGAUGGGCCUGCGUUGGAUUAGGUAGUUGGUAGGGUAAUGGCCUACCAAGCCGACGAUCCAUAGCUGGUCUGAGAGGAUGAUCAGCCACACUGGCACUGAGACACGGGCCAGACUCCUACGGGAGGCAGCAGUGAGGAAUAUUGCGCAAUGGGGGAAACCCUGACGCAGCCACGCCGCGUGGAGGAUGACACCCCUUUGGGGCGUAAACUCCUUUUAUAUGGAAAGAAUACUCUGUUCGUCAGAGGGUGACGGUACCAUAUGAAUAAGCACCGGCUAACUCCGUGCCAGCAGCCGCGGUAAUACGGAGGGUGCAAGCGUUGUCCGGAAUCAUUGGGUGUAAAGGGUGUGUAGGCGGGACUGUAAGUCAGGGGUGAAAGCCCGCAGCUUAACUGCGGAACUGCCCUUGAUACUGCAGACCUUGAAUACUGGAGAGGCUGCUAGAAUUCGUGGUGUAGCGGUGAAAUGCGUAGAUAUCACGAGGAAUACCAAAGGCGUAGGCAGGCAGCUGGACAGUUAUUGACGCUGAGGCACGAAAGCGUGGGGAGCAAACAGGAUUAGAUACCCUGGUAGUCCACGCCGUAAACGAU
rnacentral:rRNA from 1 species